AUUCCACCAACAUACAGGGAGACAGUAAGAACUUGGAUUGUUCCCAGUUUUACUCUUUUGAAAAAGAAGCAGGCCUCAUAAUGAAGUUUAAAGUUAAUUACCAUAGACGUUUGAAAAGAGGAACAUGAACUUGCUUAGGUUUCCGGAUUGAGAGUUUGACUGGAGGUCCUGGGAUGCUGAUGACAGAGACGAAAUGGAAAAGUUUUAAGUUUUGUCCUUUCCCUGUAGAAGAAUGGAGUAGCAGCUCAGUACCAGAGAGGUUGUUGUCAGAUGGAGGUAGCUGAGGAGGGGGAAAGAAAGGCGAAACGGCUUUGUUUUCUGUCUGUAAGAGUUAAAGAAUUUGCUUAGGCAGAGAGCCAGCACGGAGGACAGCCGGCUGACUGCACCUCCGCACGGUUCUGCCGGGUUCUGCUGCAGAGGUCGGCUAAGUCUGCUGAAAUCGAAUCCCGCGUCUGCUGCCCGGAAUAACAACGUGGCAGA